UCCAUCAACCAAAACAAAUAGCACAAACUUCCCUCUGGAUUUUGGCAAACCGACAAUGAAGUCUGUUGAAAUGUCACUCCAAAUGUAGGUAGGAAUUUUUGGUGGCUCUGAAAGACGGAUGUAAGUUCUCUACUUCGUUCCUUUAACAGGUGGCUAAGGAUUCUACAAAAGUUUGACUAUCUAUAUUCAUGCUUUCGCAAUAAAAGUCUCAACAAAUUCAUUACAAAGUUCUUUGCACCCCUUAAUUUGUGCUGCCAUGCAAAGUUGAUACUAUAGUACAAGAGGGGAAGCGUGAUGCAUGCUCAAGUGUCUCAUCUAGUCAAGUCCAAGACAAAGAGAAAUUCAAGUGUUUAUCUUCAUGAAUCGGCAGCACCAUACUUGGAUUCCAAGAAACCCCUCAAAAUCGCAACUACUUGAAGAUUUCUUUCUUUCACUUCCAAUUCAAUCUUUGUUUUCUUUUCGUUAAUUCUGAAAAUUUGCUAACUUUAGAUCAUAUUUUUAUUAUUCUUUUCCAAAAUAUUUCAAAGCUAAUUGAUCAAGGAAAA